rnacentral:rRNA from 1 species
UACGAAGGGGGCUAGCGUUGUUCGGAAUUACUGGGCGUAAAGCGCACGUAGGCGGAUCGAUAAGUAAGGGGUGAAAUCCCAGAGCUCAACUCUGGAACUGCCUUUUAAACUGUCGAUCUGGAGCAGAGUAGAGGUGAGUGGAAUUCCGAGUGUAGAGGUGAAAUUCGUAGAUAUUCGGAGGAACACCAGUGGCGAAGGCGGCUCACUGGACUCUUGCUGACGCUGAGGUGCGAAAGCGUGGGGAG